rnacentral:lncRNA from 1 species
UUAAGGUAGCACUACAGUCUAACAAUGAUUUUUUAAAGAUAUUUUUUUUAUCACAUAAUUUUGAAGUAAGAACUAUUCUGCACAGUUUAUAAAAAUCCCAGAGUCAUUAUCAUAUCACAACAGGGAGUAAAUUGAUAAUGAACUUAUGUAAAUAAAACCACAAGGCAAUUAAUCUAAAUGUAUAGGCAUUUGGGAGGGGCUAAUAUGUCAAUCAUCUGUUGAUACCAGUGUCCAGCUGUUAAUCCCUGACCACAAGAUAAAUAUUGUAGUCUUAUCUUAUGUUUUUGCAACAAUCUUAUUGUUUUGCAAAAAAAAUAAUUUAUAUAACAUGGAAGUGAACAAAGAAAAAGAAAAAAUCUAAAAGGAAAAAAUCUACAAAAAAUGAAAUAAAAUUAAUAUGGUAC